AGCAUUUGCAAGUUAAAUCAAGCCUUUUCAUCCAUCCAAGAGUCUUCUAACAACAAGAUCUUCAUCUUCUUUGGAUCAUAAGCUCUUUUAGAUCAUCCCUAGCCUAGAGCUAGAAGUCGCAAUACUGUUCAGGACUACCGUACGUGAAAUCAUAUUUACUUCUACUCACUGAAGCGAUACUGGAAUUAGUGGACCUUGUCAGGGAUUCUAAUUCGGGAAACAAGUAUCAAGACUCCGUGCCAUCUUUUGAAGGGUUUAUCUAUUAUACUGCCGCUUUGCGGUGAUAUAGUGGACAAAGCCUUAGUGUUUAAAAUUUUCGUUUUGAAUGUAUGAAAUAAUAACAACUUAGUUUCUUUGAAUGGUUUGUAAAUUAUAAACUUAAUGUAUGUUGCGCAUCUUUUGAGCAAUU